AAUCAACGCUGGCGGCGUGCCUCAGACAUGCAAGUCGAACGAUUAAAGCUCUCUUCGGAGAGUGUAUAGAGUGGCGCACGGGUGAGUAGCACGUAAGUAAUCUACCCUCGAGUGGGGAAUAACGUUCGGAAACGAACGCUAAUACCGCAUAAUGCAGCGGCAUCGCAAGAUGACAGUUGUUAAAAGGAGUAAUUCGCUUG
rnacentral:rRNA from 1 species